rnacentral:rRNA from 1 species
CAGCCGCCGCGGUAAUACGAAGGGGGCUAGCGUUACUCGGAAUUACUGGGCGUAAAGGGCGCGUAGGCGGCACGAUUAGUCAGGCGUGAAAUUCCUGGGCUCAACCUGGGGACUGCGCUUGAUACGGUCGAGCUAGAGGAUGGAAGAGGGUUGUGGAAUUCCCAGUGUAGAGGUGAAAUUCGUAGAUAUUGGGAAGAACACCGGUGGCGAAGGCGGCAACCUGGUCCAUUACUGACGCUGAGGCGCGACAGCGUGGGGAGCAAACAGGAUUAGAUACCCGAGUAGUCCCUGUCUCUUAUAC